rnacentral:tRNA from 2 species
CGCGAAGUAGAGCAGCGGUAGCUCGUCGGGCUCAUAACCCGAAGGUCACAGGUUCGAUCCCUGUCUUCGCAACUA